rnacentral:rRNA from 1 species
GACGAACGCUGGCGGCGUGCUUAACACAUGCAAGUCGAACGGAAAGGCCCGGCUUUUGUGGGGUGCUCGAGUGGCGAACGGGUGAGUAACACGUGAGUAACCUGCCCUUGACUUUGGGAUAACUUCAGGAAACUGGGGCGAAUACCGGAUAGGAGCUCCUGCUGCAUGGUGGGGGUUGGAAAGUUUCGGCGGUUGGGGAUGGACUCGCAGCUUAUCAGCUUGUUGGUGGGGUAGUGGCUUACCAAGGCUUUGACGGGUAGCCGGCCUGAGAGGGUGACCGGCCACCUUGGGCCUGAGAUACGGACCAGACUCCUACGGGAGGCAGCAGUGGGGAAUAUUGCACAAUGGGCGGAAGCCUGAUGCAGCAACGCCGCGUGCGGGAUGACGGCCUUCGGGUUGUAAACCGCUUUCGCAUGUGACGAAGCGUGAGUGACGGUAAUGGGUAAAGAAGCACCGGCUAACUACGUG